rnacentral:rRNA from 1 species
UACGAACCGUCCAAACGUUAUUCGGAUUCAUUGGGCUUAAAGGGUACGUAGGCGGCCCUGUUAGUCGGGUGUGAAAUCCCUCGGCUCAACCGAGGAACUGCGCCCGAUACUGCAGGGCUUGAGGGAGACAGAGGUAAGCGGAACUGAUGGUGGAGCGGUGAAAUGCGUUGAUAUCAUCAGGAACACCAGUGGCGAAAGCGGCUUACUGGGUCUCUUCUGACGCUGAGGUACGAAAGCUAGGGAGC